GGACGAACGCUGGCGGCGUGCUUAACACAUGCAAGUCGAGCGGUAAGGCCCUUUCGGGGGUACACGAGCGGCGAACGGGUGAGUAACACGUGGGUGACCUGCCCUCAGCUCUGGGAUAAGCCUGGGAAACCGGGUCUAAUACCGGAUAUGACUCCAUGACGCAUGUUGUGGGGUGGAAAGCCUUGUGCGGCUGGAGGAUGGGCCCGCGGCCUAUCAGCUUGUUGGUGGGGU
rnacentral:rRNA from 1 species